AAAAAAAAUUCACUCAUCCCCUCACGUUUCUCCAUCCCCCACUCUCCAUAAUUAUCUUUUUCUCUCUCCAUAUUUACCUUUGUAAAACUUUCCAUAAUUAUUCCAAAAAAAGAAAAAAUCUCACUCAUCCUCUCACGUUUCUCCUUCCCGUACUCUCCAUAAUUUUUUUCACUCUCCAUAUUUAUUUUGUAUAUAAUUUAUUAGUAAACAAAAUCUCUCCCUCUCUCUCUCUCUCUCUCUCUCUCUCUCUCUCUCUCUCUCUCUCCCCAUGUUUUAUCGGAUAAUUAUAUUGGAUGAGUAUAUCUUACUAUAACUCUCCCUCUUAUCAUGUUUAUCAGGAAACUCAUUCUCUCUGCCUCUCCAUCCCCCUCCCUCACUUCUAUUUACGUUGAAUAGAAAAUCUCAAUUCAUCUUCUGGCAAAAGAUUUUUAACAUCACCGUAAUCUUUUCCUCCUUAGUCUUUUCUCCCAAAGCUCAAAUCUGCUUUGAAGAUAGCUCCAAGAGCUCGCUUUCUCUGCCAUUCCUUUGGUUCUAGGUAAGCUCUUGUAGGGUUUCUUAUGCAGUUCUUUAACUUUUUCUUUCCCUGUCCAAUGAUUUAAUAUAAGGUAUACGUCUUGGCUCGUUGAUCCUAUAAUGCACUUCUCAUCUUUUACAAUUUGUUUGUUUGUUUUCUUUCUUUUAACUCUCUUUCUUCGUCCACUUCCUUCUUCUGCUAACGUGAUCAGUUUAUGCUCUCCCAAUGACAUAUAUAAUGUGGGUGAUCCAAUAUCUAAUAUUGGCAAUCUCAUCUGAGAAACUACAUCUCUGGUGGCUUCUGUGUUUGCCAACCUUCCCUACGGUAUUUCUUUCUUUAGAAGUCAGCCUACGGGACGAUGCUCCAAUGGUCUUCUUAUGAUUAACUAUAUUGGUAUGUAAUUUUAUUUUAUAUAUUUCUCAAAUUAUCUUCUCUUUUACCCGUAAAUCACUAAUAUUUGGCUCAAGACCCACCUCAAAUCAAAUUGUUACUCAGAUUGUGAGGAGAAGCUUAAAAGAUCAAUUUUCUUCGUGGGGAGAUUGGUGGUAAUGAUUAUAAUCAUCUCUUCUUCCAAGGCAAAACCAUGGACAACCUACAAUAGAGUUUGGUGCCUCAUAUUAUUCAAUCCAUCAAAACAACUGCUAUGGAUUAAAUGACUUUGUAAUGUUUCACAAGCCUUCCAACAACUGAGGGAUGAAUACCUAAAUGUUGAUAUAGUUUAUGCUAAUUAUUACAAUGCAUUUAAAUGGGUCUUUGACAAAGCUCAUUUGCUAGGAUUUGACAUGGACUCUACAAAAAGCAUGUUGUGGAAGUAGAAGACAAUAUAAUUUUUAUCUAAGAAAUUAUGUGGAGUUCCAGAAGCUGCAAUGUGUCCCAUUCCUUUUACACAUAUCAGUUGGGAUGACAUUCAUUUGGCAGAGAAGGCAUACAGGAACAAGGCAUUGGGAAUCAUAUACCACUGCGAAUUGGGCAUUCAAGUAGAAUCCAUUUUCUACUCCUAAAUAGGUAACCUUAAUCAUGGAGAUUUGAAGGAAAAAGUCUUGGCACUGAAGUCAAUGAUUACCAUCAAAUCUCUUCUGCCCUUAUAUUUGAUGAGUUCUCUGAGAUCCUCAUGUUUUAGACCGUUUCCUCUUACCUCCAAGGGCCAGAGCAUGUAACAAGUUCACGAAUUUCACAGCUUUAAGCAUCUCAAGCUACCUUCCAAUUCUUUUCAAACCUAAAAUCCUUCUUCCCCAUACCUCUGGAGAGAUGUGAAGGAGAGGGCCAAGGAGUUUGGGUAGUAUUGACAACACAAACCUCAGGAGGUUGGUAACUCAAGAAUGUUAAAGCAGUGGUGUAGUUUUAAGCUUUUGAAUAAUGGAUGAGGUUCCAUGCAUGGAUCAGGUGGUUGUUUGCUACACAAGCCGAUAAGUGGCAUGCUAAUGGGAAGAUGUUCGCAACAUGUUGAUAGAUUUUUUCAUAAUCCUACUCAUGUGUAAGUUGUCAGUUCAGCCCUUGAUAUUAGAUUAUUUCCUUCCAAUUUGAUGCUACUUCACCUUUGAAAUUCUUGGGUAUUUAUUUUCUGUGAUAUUUUAGAUAGCAUGUGCUGUUGAUCAAAUUAACCUCUAGGACCUAGAAUUACUCAUCAACUCUUUGAGACUCUCACAUUCAAACCUUGCACACCAUCUGCUAUAAAAUUUGUGAAUACAACAUUAUCCCUCUAUUGAAGGACACCAACAGUGGUUGGAUGCAACCAUGGCUGCCAAAGCAAAGUCAAAUUCUUAGUCUACCUAGAUAUUUCUCCAGGAGAUUGUAAUGAUUUGAUCAGUUCGACUCCCAAGAGAUUGGAAAGCUACAAAGACCAUUAAGUUUCAAAUAGGCCACUUUAGGAUUUCCAUUAAUCUAACAAGAUAACCCAUUUGAGAGCAAGGCCAAUCAAUCAUUAGAAACUCAGAAAGCUAAGUGUGGUUUACCAAAAAAGUAGAAAAAAACAAAAAUCAACAUUUGGUUCAAAGUGCUAAACAAUCUGCAGAAGCAAGAAAAUAAACCAUUAAUAGUAAAAAAACUGGGACCUAUUAUCAACUAAAAGAUGCACCAUAGUAACAACUAUGUCAAUGGGAAUUGCAUUAUCUCCUGGUUAUUCUUUUCUUUUCUUUCACAUGAAAUACUCAAAAAGGUUGAAAACAACAUGUUAAAACAAAAGCCUGGUAAUGGCUUUAUAUAUGUCCCUUAUUCAAAUAUCCACUGUUGACUAGGGUAGGUAGCAAACUGAAAUGUCUCGGAACAAUCAUUAUUCUGUAGAAACAAGAAGCAAUAAAGUUUGGAGUGGCAAAAGGAUGAGUAAUCAACCGAUUUAGCUACUUGGGUUCAUCCUCCAUCAGUUCACUUUGUUUCUCUAAGAUAUUGUUUGAAAUUGAUUUCUACAUUUUUCCCCCCUUCUUCCUCUUAUUCUAUGAACAUGGCAGCCUAUGAAUCUCUACUAUAAAUCUCUUAAGUAAUUCUACCAUUCUUAGCUCUGUGAAUUUUAUAUUCAAAUUAAGGGGCGUUGGUUUAUUUUGAGUUUGGGGUAGAGUAGAUAGUGAUUUGGUGCCUGAGAGUUUGAAGGGUUGAGAACGUAUAUGAAGUAGGAAACUCCAUGUUAUAGAGAAUGUCUAUAGGAAGCUUAUUUGAUUCCAAUCGAGCGACAAAUUAGAUUUUGUUUCGGUAUGAAGACUUCAUAUUGGGCAUUGCAACACUCUAGGUCUGCUUUAAGGAAAGAAACAUUGCCCUCGGAUCCUGAAAAACUCAGUUACAUUGUCCCUUUCUAUCUUAUACUUGUUCUGAAUAUAAUCUCUUUGGGUACAAUGCUGAAAAGUCAAUUACGAUGUGCCUUUUAUCUUAGAUUGGGAAUGACAUAUAUAGCUCAUGUGCAGCACACCUAGAUGUCCCUCUAUAACUGUCAUGGUUACAUGAAUACUACCCCUAUUACAAAGCUUAGCCAAUACAAAAUCUGCAACCUUGGGGCACGCUUUCCAAUCAAGAAGAACAUUCCCUGGCUUGGCUUUAAAGCAUAGUGAAUUAUUCUCUGUUGACAUUCCUCAAUGCAAGUAGGCAAUCCCUUUUGCUGUCCCGAUUGCAAUCUCAUGUAGCUUUUUUUAUUCCACUGUCUUGUUCUCCACGAACACGAACCUGUUAAGGGAUCCAGUCUCCAUGUACUCAUACACAAUUGCUCGCAUCUUGGGAUCGAUGAAAAAUCCGUAGUCUGACCAAGUUCACAUUGUAUGUUCUUCCAAUUGUGCUUAUUUCUGCCAUGAACUGCUCUUCAAGUUGUUUGCCUAAAUUCCCAUUGGGGACUUUAAUGGCCAGUGGAACUCCAUUCAGGAGUUUUCCUCUGUAGACUACACCGAAUCCACCCGAACCCAAUAUUUUGGAGUAAUCUUGAGCAAAUGCAACCAACUGUGAGGUUUAAAAUCUGAUGGGCUUUUCCUUUGCUAUAUUAUUGAGAAACCUAUCUACUACAGUGGCUAUUUCUAUUGCCAAUGCUCAUCCUCCAUUACCUGCCUUGAUCAAGGCAAUUGAUGAGGGCACAUACUAUCGCAACAAGAGCUAAAAUAUACAGCUGCAGAAGUUGCAGAUUUUUGGAGGGUCAGACAACGUACCUGCUACAAUCCAUUUCUUCAACUCUACAGAUUGAUGAUCAGGUGCUUAAUUACCAUCAUUUAUCCAUAGAGAAAGUGCAUAAUUAUAUGAAGACGUCUAUCUGUGGAGAGGUGUUUUUGUUUUGUUUUGUUUUGUUUUGUGUUUUUUUUUGUUUUUUUGUUUUUUUGUUUUUUUUGUUUUUUUAAUGCUAUGAGAAUUUGCAAUGAGGCUUUUGAAGAGGGGAGGAAGUAAAAAAAUAAAGUCUGCUGCUCAAGUGAUAAGAUCAGUGUAAGAUGUAAGAUAUAGAGUUCCCUAUUCCUCAUGUCUUAACGAUUAUCAUGGAGUCAUCAAGGUGAAUGGAUGGAAUUUUAAUUCAUUGGAGUUACUUUUAAUGGGGUUUGAUUUCAAUGGGAGCCUAAAAAAUUCAAAUAUAUUGUGGUUAUAUUCAUGUCCCCUCCCCCCCCCCCCAGGUCACAUCUUUUAACUUUGUAAUUUUAAUAAGGUAUGGUGGUUCAAUUCUUUUUUAAUUUAAUGUUUUUUGAUAAAGAAUUUAACUUACUGUUCAUAGGUAAGGGAGAGGUAACUUCUCGCACAGGGUUUACAGAAUGCGCAAGGGAUCCAACUUUAUCUCCAACCAUUAUUUCUUCUUCAUUUUCUGUGUUAAAUUUUCUUUCUUUUCUUUCUUUUCUUUCUUUUCUUUCUUUUCUUUAUUCUAUUUAUUCUAUUUAUUUGUUCUCUUCUUUUCCAGUUUCCACAAGAAUGCCCAUUUCGCAGACUCGAACAGAACAAAAACCAAUUGCAUGCAUUCAUCCACCAACUUUUUGCCCCACCAUAUCAAAGCCCUAAACCUAAGGUUUGCAGGUUUAUCUGGUUUAUGUUUUAAGAAGCUGCUUGAAUAUGGAAAUGUGUACGUUCAUUACCUCUCAUUUAAUUAGAUGCACCCAUGGUUAGGAAUGUAAUGAAAUUUCUCUUUUCCCUUUGUGCUCUUUUCUUUGCCUUAUGGUUGUAAUUGAAACUCCCAUUCCCAACAAGCAAAAAGAACUAAAAGUAAUUCUUCUGAGAGGAUAAACUGUUGGGAAAAGAGAAGGAUAUAAAAGGGGCAAGACACUUAUAUGUUGAAUACUUGAGAAAUAAAAAUAUGAUACAAAUAUACCCAACUCAGAUCACCUCUAUUCA